rnacentral:rRNA from 1 species
GACGAACCGUGCGAACGUUAUUCGGAAUCACUGGGCUUAAAGGGCGCGUAGGCGGUCCAACAAGUCAGGGGUGAAAUCCUGCAGCUUAACUGUAGAAGUGCCUUUGAUACUGUUGGUCUUGAGGGAGAUAGGGGUGUGCGGAACUUCCAGUGGAGCGGUGAAAUGCGUUGAUAUUGGAAGGAACGCCGGAGGCGAAAGCGGCGCACUGGAUCUCUUCUGACGCUGAGGCGCGAAAGCUAGGGGAGCAAACGGG